UACGUUUCGCUUACUUCCAGCAAACCACCAUUGAUCUCUCCUCCAAUUCACAAAUCCAAUUUCUCUAGGGUUUGAUUUCUUCGACUUGAAUUGCAUUUCCAUCCGAAUUUCCCCAAAUUCGUCAAGCUGGAUAGGCACCGAGGGGAUCGCCACGAGAGUGGCGCUUACGACGAUUCCUACCGUAACCACCGAGCUCACCCUAGAGGUCCCCCUCGACUCUCAGAUUCACCCUCCAUGUCACGUUUCGGCGAGGAUGACGAAGGUUUCAGCCGCCGUCGUCGCCGUGGAAACAGCCCUAGCAAUUAUCAAGUUGGAAUUGGGGACAGAGGAGGUGGCGAUCGACGCUGGGAAGAUGACGGCCCCACGGAUCGUAAUUUUCACAGAGAAGGCGUUGGAGGAGGUUUCCGGCCGAUGAACGCUCCUCCAGGGAGAGUAGAUUUUCAGCCUAUGGGUUAUGGCUUCGACGGAGGUUUUCCGCCGAUGAGUCGCGACGGAGGAUUUCGGCCUAACGUGCCAGUGAAUUUUCCGCCAUCGGAAAGUCCAGAUGCAGGGGGAUAUUCCGGCGGCAGGGGAUUUCAAUCAACGGGGCCUGAUUACUCUGUGAGAUUGACUUCACCGCCGAUCCAGCAGCCUCUUUCUGGUCAGAAAAGAGGUCGUCCUCUCUCGGAGCAGAGUAGCUUUACUGGAACUGAUUUUACUGAUCGUAGCAGUAUGGUGAAGCUUUUUGUUGGCUCUGUACCAAGGACAGCUACAGAAGAAGAAGUCCGUCCCUUUUUCGAACAACACGGAAAUGUUCUUGAGGUUGCUUUUAUCAAGGACAAGAGAACAGGACAGCAGCAAGGCUGUUGUUUUGUAAAAUAUGCAACUUCUGAAGAUGCGGAUAGGGCCAUUAGAGCAUUGCACAAUCAGAUCACUCUUCCUGGGGGAACUGGCCUUGUUCAAGUUCGAUAUGCUGAUGGGGAGAGAGAACGCAUAGGUGCGGUAGAGUUUAAGCUUUUUGUUGGUUCCUUAAACAAGCAAGCCACUGAAAACGAGGUUGAGGAGCUCUUUUUGCAAUUUGGUCGCGUGGAGGAUGUCUAUCUCAUGCGUGAUGAAUAUAGACAGAGUCGUGGAUGCGGGUUUGUUAAAUAUUCAAGCAAAGAGACGGCCAUGGCAGCUAUCGAUGGUCUCAAUGGAACUUAUACCAUGAGAGGUUGCAAUCAGCCGUUGAUUGUUCGGUUUGCUGAUCCAAAGAGGCCUAAACCGGGCGAGUCAAGGGAAGUGGCACAUCCUGUUGGACUUUGUUCAGGGCCUCGUUUUCAAGCUUCAGGACCAAGGCCUACAUCUAACCUUGGUGACCUUAGUGUGGAUGUGAGCCACACAAAUCCUUGGCGUCCUAUGAAUUCACCAAACAUGGGGCCACCUGGUAACACUGGGAUCCGUGGUACCGGAAGUGACUUGGCUCCUAGGCCAGGUCAAGCCACAUUACCUUCAAAUCAGGGAGGUCCAUUGGGUGGUUAUGUUGUUCCUGCCAUUAACCCUCUACCAGUCUCAUCCUCUGCCACAUCGCAACAGCAAAACCGGGGAGCUGGCCAGCAUAUGUCACCAUUACAAAAACCUCUUCACAGUCCACAGGAUGUGCCCCUUCGACCACAAACUAAUUUCCCUGGGGCCCAAGCAUCCUUGCAGAAUCCUUAUGGUUAUAGCAGCCAGUUGCCUACUUCUCAGCUGCGGCCACAACAAAACGUCACUCCUGCAACAGCUCCUCAAGCUCCUUUGAACAUCAACCUACGGCCAACACCUGUAUCUUCUGCAACUGAUCAAUUGCGCCCUCGUGCUCAGCAGCCACCGCCACAAAAGAUGCAACAUCCUCCUUCUGAGCUAGUUCAGCUCUUGUCACAACAGACUCAGACUCUACAAGCAACCUUCCAAUCAUCUCAGCAAGCAUUUUCUCAACUGCAGCAGCAGGUGCAGUCCAUGCAGCAACCAAACCAAAAAUUACCAGGCUCACAGACUGGCCAUGGUAAACAGCAGUGGGCUGGAUCUGCAAUUCCGACAGUUGUUAGCACCACUGCUUCUACACCAGUUAGCUAUAUGCAAACAGCUGCACCUGCAGCAACUCAGAGUGUUGUUUCUCGCAAAUGUAACUGGACCGAGCAUACCUCGCCUGAUGGAUUUAAGUAUUAUUACAACGGUCAAACCGGUGAAAGCAAGUGGGAAAAACCUGAGGAAAUGGUAUUGUUCGAACGUCAGCAACAGCAGCCAACUAUAAAUCAGCCCCAGACCCAAUCACAGCAGGCUCUUUAUUCCCAGCCGAUGCAGCAACAACCACAACAGGUUCACCAGCAAUAUCAGGGCCAAUAUGUACAGCAGCCUAUUUAUUCUUCAGUGUAUCCAACUCCAGGGGUCAGCCAGAAUGCUCAGAUACAAACAUCUAAAUUUGAUCAUUUCAAAAUUUGAUCAUCGAGUUCCCUUUUCAAUGCAGUAUCCGCCGCCAUUGGGAGUUAGUCAAAAUAGCCAGUUUCCUAUGUCAGGCACCGGUCAAAAUGCUCAGGAAUUUGGGCGGACAGAUACACCAGUGGGGGUUGCUUCCAUCAAUAAUCCGUCACGAACUCAACAGGUACAUGAAAGGAGGAGCUGAAAUCUUUCAGUAACUAGACAUAGAAAGGUGUGGAACUAAUUAUUAGUCAAGCAGAGGAAAAGCAGCAACGGCAGUGUUCUUGGUCUCUGAGUUUUAGUUUACCCCUUCAGGUAUAAUAGAUAGGCAAUUCGCCUACCUGCUGAAUUCUAUCUUUUCUCUAAUCAGAGAUUUCUUCUUCUUUUUUAUUCCUAGAGUUGACAAUCAACACGUCUGUUGUAACAUAGAUAGCGCAAGUCAUGUCACAUGUAGUGUUAGUAUUAGUAUACAUUUAACUGGUAAAACAGAACUUUGAUCCAAACUUGGUAAGAGUAAUAUAAAUGCAUAUUCAGAUAUCA